rnacentral:rRNA from 1 species
GACGAACGCUGGCGGCGUGCCUAAUACAUGCAAGUAGAACGCUGAAGAGAGGAGCUUACUCUUCUUGGAUGAGUUGCGAACGGGUGAGUAACGCGUAGGUAACCUGCCUUGUAGCGGGGGAUAACUAUUGGAAACGAUAGCUAAUACCGCAUAACAAUGGAUGACACAUGUCAUUUAUUUGAAAGGGGCAAUUGCUCCGCUACAAGAUGGACCUGCGUUGUAUUAGCUAGUAGGUGAGGUAAUGGCUCACCUAGGCGACGAUACAUAGCCGACCUGAGAGGGUGAUCGGCCACACUGGGACUGAGACACGGCCCAGACUCCUACGGGAGGCAGCAGUAGGGAAUCUUCGGCAAUGGGGGCAACCCUGACCGAGCAACGCCGCGUGAGUGAAGAAGGUUUUCGGAUCGUAAAGCUCUGUUGUAAGUCAAGAACGGGUGUGAGAGUGGAAAGUUCACACUGUGACGGUAGCUUACCAGAAAGAGACGGCUAACUACGUG